GUUCUACCUUCGUUAGGCGUCUUCUUUGAAAAAAAAAACCAAACCCUAGUUCGUCUCUCUGAUCGUUAUACUUUUUGUUUUUCUUUCCGCUACUUUCUCUCAUUUUCCUUCCCUUUCCGGGAAAAUCCUUUCUUUCUCUCAAUCACCCGGGAGUCAUUCAUUUUUCUUAGAUCUGCAUGGUUUGGGGUUAUUUCGGUGCAUAGAAUCUGUCUGAUUUACAUUUUCUAGCGUUGGAUUUGGAGUUUUCGUUUUGGGUUCAAUUCUUCUGAGGGGUCGGAGUGGGGAUUAGAGAGAAGAGUAGGGUAAAGAGAGGGGGUUGGUCCGGUCUCAAUAGAUCUUAUACUGCUUCUUUUGAGGGGGUAGCCGGGGCCUCGGCCUCGGCGGGUUUUAAAGCCCCCACCUUCACAAACUGAAGAAAAUCAUAAUCCUAACCAUAACUUUUUAACAAACAGAUCGUCGCGGAAGACGAUGCCGGCCCUGGCUUGUUGCGUAGAUGCUGCCCUUGCGCCUCCCGGCUACGCUUUUCAUGCAGGGGAUAGCUCCCUUCCGUCGCCGGUCCAAUUUUCCGGCGUACCUCCGGCACCAACCACCACCCCCACUGCCUCCAUCGAAAACUCUCCUUCCCAUUGGUCACCUUCCCUCUCUUCUGCACUCUACAAGAUAGACGCUUGGGGUGCUCCUUACUUUUCUGUCAACCACUCCGGCAACAUUGCCGUACGUCCUUAUGGGACUGACACCCUGGCUCACCAGGAAAUCGAUCUCUUAAAGAUCGUGAGGAAAGUUUCGGAUCCGAAAUCCGUGGGCGGGCUUGGCUUGCAGCUGCCCCUCAUUGUUCGCUUGCCUGAUGUGCUGAAGAACCGGCUUGAGUCUCUGCAAUCAGCUUUCAAUUUUGCAAUCCAGUCUCAAGGCUAUGAGGCUCAUUAUCAAGGUGUUUAUCCGGUGAAAUGUAACCAGGACCGUUUUGUUGUUGAGGAUAUCGUGAGAUUCGGAUCUCCAUUCCGGUUUGGAUUGGAGGCCGGGUCGAAACCGGAACUCCUUUUGGCUAUGAGCUGCUUGUGCAAGGGAAAUCCGGAAGCUCUUCUUGUUUGUAAUGGAUUCAAGGAUGGAGAGUACAUUUCUCUGGCGUUGCUAGCUAGAAAACUCGCUUUGAACACUGUGAUUGUGCUUGAACAAGAAGAAGAACUUGAUUUGGUCCUGGCAUUGAGCAGGAAAAUGUCAGUUAGGCCCGUGAUUGGAGUGCGAGCCAAGCUGAGAACCAAACAUUCGGGCCAUUUCGGGUCCACGUCAGGCGAGAAAGGGAAAUUUGGGUUAACCACGACCCAGAUUUUACGGGUUGUGAAGAGGCUUGAGGAAGCAGCAAUGCUUGAUUGUCUCCAGCUGCUGCAUAUCCAUAUUGGAUCUCAGAUUCCCUCUACUGCCUUACUUGCCGAUGGUGUAGGCGAGGCUGCGCAGAUCUACUGCGAAUUAGUCCGUCUCGGUGCCCACAUGCAAGUACUCGACAUUGGAGGUGGGUUGGGUAUCGACUACGAUGGAUCCAAAUCUGGUAAUUCAGAUCUCUCUGUGGCUUACGGGCUCGAAGAGUACUCUCUAGCUGUUGUCCAAGCUGUUAAGUUUGUUUGUGACCGCAAGAACAUUAAGCAUCCGGUGCUUUGCAGCGAGAGCGGCCGGGCUAUCGUUUCUCAUCACUCUAUCUUGAUAUUUGAGGCCGUCUCUGCAAGCGUGUCUAGUGCUGCAUCAAUGACUUAUGCUGGGUGUCAGUAUUUUAUUGAGGGGCUUACUGAGGAUGCUCGUUCGGAUUACAGAAAUUUAUCAGCUGCAGUGGUGAGAGGCGAGCAUGACACCUGCUUGCUUUAUGCUGAACAAUUGAAACAAAGAUGUGUUGAUCAUUUCAAAGAAGGUAGUAUUGGUAUGGAACAAUUAGCUGCUGUUGAUGGGUUUUGUGAAUUGGUGGGUAAAGUAAUUGGAUUAUCUGAGCCAGUUCGCACUUAUCAUGUGAAUCUGUCAGUUUUCACCUCAAUUCCUGAUUUCUGGGGGAUUGGGCAGUUGUUUCCUAUCGUCCCAAUUCAUCGACUAGAGGAGAGGCCAGCAGUGAGAGGGAUUUUGUCUGAUUUAACAUGUGACAGUGAUGGGAAGAUUGACAAAUUCAUUGGCGGUGAGUCAAGCUUGCCGCUGCAUGAAUUUGAAGGCGGUGGGCGGUACUACUUGGGGAUGUUUUUGGGCGGGGCUUACGAGGAGGCGCUCGGUGGAGUUCACAACCUGUUCGGUGGCCCAAGCGUUGUGCGGGUUUCGCAGAGUGAUGGACCGCACAGCUUUUCGGUGACUCGCGCCGUGCCGGGCCCGUCUUGUGGUGAUGUCCUCCGGGUUAUGCAGCACGAGCCUGAGCUUAUGUUCGAGACUCUCAAGCACCGUGCUGAAGAAUUCUGCCACCAUGAUGAAGACAGUGAUGAUGGCGGCGAUAGUGAUCAUGGUAUUGGCAAUGCUGCUUUAGCUAGCAGUCUAGCUCGAUUCUUCCACAACAUGCCUUAUCUGGUGGCUUCAUGUUCAUUGACUGCUUUGAAUAAUGGUGGUUUCUACUAUUGCAAUGAGGAUGCUGCUGAUUCGGCUGGUGGUGAUGAGGACCAGUGGUCCUAUUGCUGUGCUUGAGAUUAAUUAAUUAGCCAUAUCCCCACCAACUUUAUUUACCAUCCAUGGUUGGCUUUGUGCUAGAGGUCGUCUUGUUUAACUUGUGUUUAUUUUUCCUUUGUUAAUUCCCAUUGUGAUAUCUGUCUUGUUCUUAAGAGCAAAAGAUUGAAGAUGCGGGACAUUCUUUUGCAUUUUGUGGUGAAAGACGGGAUUGGGAGACCGAAUAAUCCAGCCCUUAGUAAAUUCGGAAAUCUUGUUCCCUCUUUUUUAUUGUGCCUCUAGUAGAUCUUUUUUUCAAGAGUUUUUAAUUCAAUGAUGCCUUUGUUCUAUGCGUAUAUUCUUUUCGGUUUUUUAGAGUCGUAUAUGCAUGUUACAAAGUUGAAUCAGUGCACAGUCCAAGUGAACAACAUAUUCAUGUUCUAUUGGUGGCUUGUUUGAUUUGGUUGCUUUCUUUUUCCUGACUUCUGAUCUUGUGUAGGCCCUUUCUCUUUGGUGGUUGGAGAAAAAAAUUUUUGUAAUAUGGGGUUGUCUCUUUUUGUGGAAAAGGCUAGGUAGCAAGAUUCUUAAAUCAUGUUUUGUGGGGUCUCUCUCUGUCUUAUAUUUUGUCUCGGAGAGGUUAACGAGAGUUUGGCACUUGAAUUGGACUUUACCUUCUUCAACUCGAAGGGUUGCAAUUUGACGUAUCAAUUGCUUGAAUCAGUCAAUAAUUACCCGUUUGAAUUGGUUCAUACUUGUUUAGCAUGACCCAUUAAAGACGAGAUAAUGUAGUUUUUCAGCACUAGAGGUUUCUUUGCGUAGUACAUGUUUUUCUAGGGGCUUCCCGGUUUUGUUGACCACAAUUUUGUGGCUUCCAGCUAAGCCUCUAGGCAUCUUGUGGUCAAAAAUUGGAUGCAGUGCGGGGCGGUGGGUGCUAGUUGCGUGGGAUAGAUGUGAGGACCGUAUGGGAGACCCAAAUAGUGCCACUCAUUGGAAUUUUGAUGGAAUUGCAAUGGAUUUGUAUUUGUAAAAGAAGGCAAAUGAACAUUAAGGUCACUAUCUGUCUAAUUUUGCGAUCCCUUCUGCAAAACAAGGACUUGAAAUUUUCAGCGUAUGAAUGAAAUUUAGUGAGAUGUGGAUAUCUUUUGCUAUAAUUCACUUUAGAGGUGCAAGUGGGUUCAAUGCAUCGAGUUUUCUGAAAAAAAAAAAGCUUAUAUAAG
rnacentral:misc_RNA from 1 species